CGUGUCUAAACAGGUUAAAACCCGUUAACCUGUUAAGACCCGUUAAUGACAUGCUAAGAAUUUAAAUUAAAAAAAAUAUACCAGGUAUGUCAUGUGAGAAGCGGGGUGGGUAUAUCCUAAUUUUGAAAUUCAUUCUUCAAUUCACGCUCCAAAGUGCAAAGUCCAAACCCUAAAAAGAUCUCUACAGCAGCCGCAAUCGAUCGACGAACAAGAACAACCAUCGACGACCAGCAUACGUUCAGCCAUCAAUCGACGAACACGUUCAAUAUACGUUCAGCCAUCAAUCGACCAGCAUACGUUCAGCCAUCAGCCGCAAUCAAUCGACGAACAAGAACAACCAUCGAAGACCAUCAUACGUUCAGCCAUCAGGUUUGAUUGUUUGGAAUUGAAGAUCUUGAGAAAGAAAGGCAUAUGGGAACUUGAAUGUUGAAACUAUUUGGAUGUUAUGAUUAGACUUUUAUGGAUUUCGUUUUAAGUUUGUUAAAACAUCAUGUGUUUAUGCAUUUUUAUGACUUUUGUGAACCUUUGGCGACUAGAUUUCCAUUAAACAGGUUCCUUAAUUGCUAAUUUCAAA